rnacentral:lncRNA from 1 species
CAGGGAGCCUAAAGAACGGCCUCUAGAGCCAGUGGCCAGUGCUGAGGGAAAACAUCUGGACAGGGACGAGCUGAGCCUGCUCAUUGACUACCUGAACACCAGGAAGGGACAGCUGGAAGGCUUGGAUGCUGGACCCUUUAGCCAGCAGUGAGCAUUCCUCACUUCAAGGCAGGAUCAACCCUGUCGUGCGCAAGCUGCCUCCUCUGCUUCCACCCACUGGCAAGAGGCUCUUCUUAGGUGCUUCUGUCCCUGUUCCUGGCAAGUCCCCUCUGGCAACAGGCCAGGAGGAGGUCUCCUUCCGCUGCCAGACCCCUCCAAGAGGCUGACUUCUUUGGAAUGGCCCCUCCCAUACCUGCCAAGCAUCUACUUCUGGGAGAGAAGCCAGGCCUUUUAGCACCACCAUCAGGUGAGUGACCAGGAGAGCUUUGAGUGGCAUUCUAGGCUAGUGAUGUCCAAUAGAACUUUCUAUAGUUGUGCUGUCCAAUGCAGUAGCCAUUAGUUACAUGUGGCUAUUGAACACUUAAAAUGUGGUGAAUAUGACUGAGGAACUAAAUUUUUAAUUUUAUUUAAUUUAAAUGACCAUAGUCAUGUGGAUAGUGGCUACCAUAAUAGACAGCACAGUUCUAGGCUGUUGGCGAUAUUAAGAAGCUGUGGCAAUAGGUAGAGAGGUGUAUUAUAUUUUUACCAAGUAGGAAUCUAUUAUUUGUUAGUAUUUUCACCCUUCCCUCCUCUUUUUAAAAGUCACAUACGUACUUAAAAAAGGAAAUAUUGGCUGGGUACAGUGGCAUGCACCUGUAAUCCUAGCACUUUGGAAGGCCAAGGCAAGAAGGUCUCUUGAGCCCAGGAGUUUGAGGUUAUAGUGAGCUAUGAUCGUGCCACUGUACUCCAGCCUGGAUGACACAGUGAGACAGUCUCUUAAAAAAAAAGGAAAUAUUAUAUCUCUUUCAUAAAUGGAUAUCUUUGUCAUUUGCUCUAAAAUAAAAGUUAACCAUAAAAAAAAAAAAAACCACAAAACAGUGUUACUAAAUUUCUGCCAGAUACUAUUGCCUGCCUCAGUCUCUUAAGCCUAAACCUUAAGGUUUGCUAUCUCCUGGUUAAAAAUGAGGAUUCCUGCCGGGCGUGGUGGCUCACGCUUGUAAUCCUAGCACUUUGGGAGGCCGAGGCGGGCGGAUUGCUCAAGGUCAGGAGUUCGAAACCAGCCUGAGCGAGACCCCGUCUCUACCAAAAAUAGAAAUAAAUUAAUUGACCAACCAAAAAAAUAUAUACAAAAAAUUAGCCGGACAUGGUGGUGCAUGCCUGUAGUCCCAGCUACUCGGGAGGCUGAGGCAGUAGGAUCGCUGAGCCCCGGAGAUUGAGGUUGCUGUGAGCCAGGCUGACGCCACGGCACUCACUCUAGCCUGGGCAACACAGUGAGACUCUGUCUCAAAAAAAAAAAAAAAUGAGGAUUCCUAAGGAUCAAGGAGGUGUUAAUGUCAUGCCAACACUACUAGAAAUUCUUCCCUGGACUUAUUCAGGAUUGCAAAAUGCGG